rnacentral:misc_RNA from 1 species
UUUCACGUAAAGGGGGGGAGCCUAAGGUAGGACUGGUGACUGGGGUGAAGUCGUAACAAGGUAGCCGUACCGGAAGGUGUGGCUGGAUCACCUCCUUUUAGGGAGACCUACCCAUUGAAGAAUCGAAAGCCGAAGGCGAAUAGAGAAUCAAAUGGUCUACUCUAGGUCGGUCGAGAAUUGGUCAAGUCUCUUUCAAAGUAUUAUAUUUCCGGUGAUUCCCAGCAACUAGGAAAGACCUAGACUGCUGGUGAGAACCAGCCAGAACCUUGAAAAAA